rnacentral:rRNA from 1 species
GACGAAUGCUGGCGGCGUGCUUAACACAUGCAAGUCGAGCGAUGAAGCUUCUUCGGAAGUGGAUUAGCGGCGGACGGGUGAGUAACACGUUGGCAACCUGCCAUGUGGAGGGGGAUAGCCUCCCGAAAGGAAGAUUAAUACAGCAUAACACAGCGAACUAGCAUGGGUUUGCUAUCAAAGAUCUAGCGCUACAGGAUGGGCCCGCGACGCAUUAGGUAGUUGGUGAGGGAACGGCACACCAAGGCCACAAUGCGUAGCCGACCUGAGAGGGUGAGCCGCCACAUUUGAAGUAAGACACGGUCCAGACUCCUACGGGAGGCAGAAGUAGGGAAUAUUGCACAAUGGGCGAAAGCCUGAUGCAGCAACGCCGCGUGAGUGAUGAAGGUCUUCGGAUUGUAAAGCUCUUUGAUUAGGGACGAUAAUGACGGUACCUAAAGAACAAGCCACGGCUAACUACGUGCCAGCCGCCGCCGUAA